CAGAUACUGCGGGUCACUUCGGCUCAAAUGAGGAGAGAAACGGGAGGGAAAAAAAAGGCUUUUCCUCUCUCCUCCCUCUCUCUUCCUCCCGCCGGAUCUCUCUGGGGUGUGGGGGGGAGAUGGUCCGUGACCGGGCCCUUCCCCACCCAGGGGGCCUAGGCCUCCCCUGUCACCUACGUCCCGCUGCGAGCCCGUCGCCGAGCACGGGGAUCCUGGUCCAGAUGCCACAUACUUCAUGUAAAUAUAUGUGGCUUUCAAUUUCAAUGAUUUUCCAAUGGGAAACAGAGGCACAGAAGAUGACCUGAAUUGUCCCAGGGGGUCAAACUACAGGCUAGUGGCAAAGCUUGUCCUUGAACAAUACCUUCCCAAGAAGAUCUGAGGAGAGCAGAGAGCCAAGGCCCACCUCCACAGUCUUGAUACACUGAAGCCAGGUAUCAAUGGGCACAAGUCAAAACAAGGAAGGAAGAAGAAAUUUGGCUGGAGAAAUCAAUAUGGAGAUAUUUUCACUUUGUCUUUUUGCCUUAAUCAUAGAUUGUAGCAGAUUAAUAGAGAUCAGCUUUCACUGCAGCUGCUUAUACUGUACUUGACCUAUACAGAAAGAAUUUGGUCCCUAAGCCUGGAAGUUAGGCACCCUUGCCUAGCUCUGAUUUCUCUCAAAUAUUUUUAAUUAAACAAGGAAGGAAAAAAGUGAACUGACAGUUAUGAAUAAUGAAGUGGGAAUGGGCUAUGAAUACAACAAGAACUAA